CCUACGGGUGGCAGCAGUGAGGAAUAUUGGUCAAUGGGCGCGAGCCUGAACCAGCCAAGUCGCGUGAGGGAAGACGGUCCUAUGGAUUGUAAACCUCUUUUGUCGGGGAGCAAAAGACGCCACGCGUGGCGUUCCGAGAGUACCCGAAGAAAAAGCAUCGGCUAACUCCGUGCCAGCAGCCGCGGUAAUACGGAGGAUGCGAGCGUUAUCCGGAUUUAUUGGGUUAAAAGGGUGCGCAGGCGGAAGAUCAAGUCAGCGGUAAAAUUGAGGGGCUCAACCCCGUCGGGCCGUUGAAACUGGUUGUCUUGAGUGAGUGAGAGGUAUGCGGAAUGCGUGGUGUAGCGGUGAAAUGCGUAGAUAUCACGCAGAACUCCGAUUGCGAAGGCAGCAUACCGGCGCUCAACUGACGCUCAUGCACGAAAGUGUGGGUAUCGAACAGGAUUAGAUACCCCGGUAGUC
rnacentral:rRNA from 1 species